AGCAUGGGAACUGGUACGUGGAUAGUGGCUGUUCGAGCCACAUGACCAGUGACCGGGCAUUCUUCUUGCCCAGAAAGAACUGAGUGUAAACUUUAACAAAGCUAAGUGCGAAAUUAUAAGCCUCGGAAAAAGAGUGGAAGCCGUUGCUGAACUUCGUGGAGGACUGUAUGCCUUGAGAGUUGCAGAAGAAAAGAAGCGGAAUUGGCGUACGAGUGUGCAAAGCAAAGCUAGCAAUGGGCGUUCGCUUGAGGAGGAGCGCCUGAUAGAAGAAACCGAUUUUUAUGACUGUGUGGACGAAUAUUGAGGAGAAACCCGAUGCUGUGUGCCGGAUGAGUCGUGAAUAACGAAGACUAAGCGGUGAAGAAGACGAAGCAGGGGCUGACGACGCAGGGAGAGUACCGAAGACUGAGUGUCAAACUAUGUAGAACUUUGUUUGACUUUGUGAUAUCUGUUAGAGAUGAUAAACCUCGAGGAGGAGUGUUGAAUGUUGGACAAGUCUAAUGUUAUGUGUACGAUGUUUAUAAUCCAUUGCCAGCCCUGUGAAUAUGUUGUUGUCUAUUGUAUGUUGAAUGUAAAUAAUGUUAAUAAACGACCACCGCGGAGAGCGAAUCGCUUGUGUUUUCUCGUCCACUUUACGCGUCCGAAAUACCCCGCCGGGAGUUGUGUCGGUUCCGCUGUGUACCGUGGGAAGCCUCCGUGAUAACUUCCUACAGAACAAAGGGAACCGAAGCGACAAUAAAUAUCUUUUAGUAAAAUCCACAAUAAAGAUAAAAAAAUACCAUAUAUAGGUAUCCCUGGCAUCCCUGCCUGAGAUGAAUGAUACAAUGAUUAAUAGAUCCAUAACUCAUAUUUUUAGCAGUGGGUUUGUUGUGAACGUGAACAAAAAUGAAUGAAAGCUUGACAGUUCUUUGUUUUGAUUUUUGUGCCUUGAUGUGCCCUCUGUCUGUUUUUUUUUUGUGGAAGCUAAUAGUAAUAUAUAAAAUAUCAAACAAAACAUAUAUUUUUGGUACAUAGAUUUAAAGGACAAUUUGUUUUAGUAGAAACUUGCAAUAUGUCAAAACUACCUAAAAGUGCGCUGAGUUUGAAACAGCUUUCUUCCUGCAGUUUAUGCUUCGCCAGGAGGUGCUGAAGCUAUACCGAACCAUCUUUCGUACGAUCCGUCAGGUGCCGGAUGAGUCCAGCCGCCAGGAGCUGCGUCAAUGGGCACGGGCAGAUUUCCGCGCCAAU